AGAGAGCUAUCUCAUCCAAGCUACCUCAUCCAAGGUCAUGCCCCCAUCUCUGGGCAGCCUGCAUCCAACUACUAAUUAACAGAGGGUAUACAGACCCAGCCUUUUUGCUGAGACAACUUCAGUGACAAGUAUGAAGGAUCACCGCAUUUUCAGAACUCCCCAUAACUUUGGCUGAGGUUUCUGUUGAGACUACAUUGCAGCUGAUUUUCUUUUUUCAAUCCUGCUUCCUUCCCUUCCCCCAAGUAUAUGGUCAACCACCCAGAUAUUUCUCAACCUGCCUCCCAGUGAGGUGCCAUGUAACUACAUUCUGGCCAAUGACAUGGCCAUGACACUCAUGGAACACAAACCAUCUAUUUGUCUACCACAAAAUGCACCCAAGUGUCUCAAAGUGCCCUUCUGGUUACAAAAUGAGACACUGCUUCAGGACCUUGGAGAGCGCCCUUCCAGGUUAACACAAGGUCAAUAUCUCCAGGACCUCCCUGAGAUCCACGGGAUGGCAUUUUCUCUUCUUGACAUUAGCCAGAAAAACAAAACAAAACUAAAC
rnacentral:lncRNA from 1 species